rnacentral:lncRNA from 10 species
AACUCUGAACACAUCCAAACAUCAGAAGGAACAAACUCCGGACACGCAGCCUUUAAGAAUUGUAACACUCACCGCGAGGGUCCGUGGCUUCAUUCUUGAAGUCAGUGAGACGAAGAACCCACCAAUUCCGGUAGGAGUAGGAAAUCACAUCACCUUCUUUUAAUCAGUCUCAAAUACCUGGCCCCUUGUGGAACCUGCAAGAGCCAGGUUUGGCGAAUGCAAUGAUAAGCAAUUGUCUAAUCACUGCCUUGAAAAAGAGCAGAGCAUUUGAGUAUGCUGUCUCCUCCUCUCCCUCACUUCAGUUGGGCCCAACAUGACAGUCUUAAUGGAAGCUCGGGGGUCAAAGGCUGGUGGCUUACUUCACGUAUAUUGCAGCAUUUCAGUACUGCUCUGCACGUGUGCUCCCCCGCCUGAUGAGGUAAGUGUUAAACAGGGAUGAUCACAGCUUCAAGUAAGCAAUGGGAAUUGGAUGUUUUAUGUCCUCUGGCGCCAUCUUCAGCAGAGAAAUAUAUAGGUCACUUUUACUUGUCUGGUUUUGGUCUUGAAAUAUGUACUGAAACUUGUGAAGGAGCAGACCUAUAUUAGGAUAGAGUAAAAGAGGGAAAGACAAAAACCUCUUGGGCUUUUCAGGAGACUUGGUUCAUUCUCUGCUUUUCAAGCCAUCUCAUGGCCACAUGCCUGCUUU